rnacentral:pre_miRNA from 1 species
CAAUUAAAGUUGGAGAAACUGACACCCGCUAGCCACUUGUGUGCAAAGCACGUCGGUAGAACCAGUCUCGCGGGUGUCAGUUUCUCCAACUUUAAUUG